AAGUCGUAACAAGGUUUCCGUAGGUGAACCUGCGGAAGGAUCAUUAACACGUAUCCAACGUUAAACCCCCCUGUGAACUUUUAUACUUGCUCUCGUGGCUACCGGAAUUGCAAUCCCUGGUAAAUUGGUAGUUUCGAUCGAGCGAUCGUUGCAAGUGGCCUGGUUUCCCCAAGCAGUCAGUGUCUGAAAGUGUCAUUGAUUGUGUAAGGAUAACGCUUUUCGAUCACCAGAGGCCGAACACCGGCCGGUGACCAGGUCGCCGUGGCUUCGGCCCCCUAUAUUCACCCCACUACCAACUUUCGCCUCGUAGGAAACUGCUGGGCAACAAAACGAACAACUGUUAACAAUGGAUAUCUUGGUUCUC
rnacentral:misc_RNA from 1 species